rnacentral:tRNA from 2 species
CGCGGGGUAGAGCAGUUUGGUAGCUCGCAAGACUCAUAACCUUGAGGUCACGGGUUCAAAUCCUGUCUCCGCAA